AUCGUUUCUUGGCCUUUUGGCUAUGAUCAAGUGUAGUAUCUGUUUUUAUCAGUUUAAUAUCUGAUAUGUCCUCUCUCUGAGGACAUUAUAUUAAGUGGAUUUUUGGAGCUGGGAGGUAGAAUAGGAGGUUGCUCCAUCCACUUCCUGCAUUGACCUGGUAUUGCAGUACUUCCAGGAAUGGUGUACCCCCC